rnacentral:rRNA from 1 species
AACGAACGCUGGCGGCAUGCCUAACACAUGCAAGUCGAACGAGACCUUCGGGUCUAGUGGCGCACGGGUGCGUAACGCGUGGGAACCUGCCCUUAGGUUCGGAAUCACUCCCCGAAAGGGGUGCUAAUACCGGUUAAUGUCUUCGCACCAAAGAUUUAUCGCUUUUGGAUGGGCCCGCGUUGGAUUAGCUAGUUGGUAGGGUAAAAGCCUACCAAGGCGACGAUCCAUAGCUGGUCUGAGAGGAUGAUCAGCCACACUGGGACUGAGACACGGCCCAGACUCCUACGGGAGGCAGCAGUAGGGAAUAUUGGACAAUGGGCGAAAGCCUGAUCCAGCAAUGCCGCGUGAGUGAUGAAGGCCUUAGGGUUGUAAAGCUCUUUUACCCGGGAUGAUAAUGCCAGUACCGGGAGAAUAAGCACCGGCUAACUCCGUG